rnacentral:rRNA from 1 species
UACGUAGGUGGCAAGCGUUGUCCGGAUUUACUGGGCGUAAAGGGCGUGCAGGCGGUCUGUUAAGUGCAGGGUGAAAGCUCCCGGCUCAACUGGGAGAGGUCCUUGCAUACUGUCGAUCUCGAGUCCGGGAGAGGUGAGUGGAACUGCGAGUGUAGAGGUGAAAUUCGUAGAUAUUCGCAAGAACACCAGUGGCGAAGGCGGCUCACUGGCCCGGUACUGACGCUGAGGUGCGAAAGCGUGGGGAGCAAACAGG